rnacentral:sRNA from 1 species
GUCUGCACUCGUUGCAGGCGACGAUGCAGAGGGCUGUAAGUGUGGUGGCCCAUCUGGGCUCUCGCCUGCAGGCAUUCUCCCCGGCCUUGUGUCGUCCAUUUAGUUGCGCACAGGAGGUGCUCCGCCGGACACCGCUGUAUGACUUCCACCUGGCCCACGGCGGGAAAAUGGUGGCGUUUGCGGGUUGGAGUCUGCCAGUGCAGUACCGGGACAGUCACACUGACUCGCACCUGCACACACGCCAGCACUGCUCGCUCUUUGACGUGUCUCAUAUGCUGCAGACCAAGAUACUUGGUAGUGACCGGGUGAAGCUGAUGGAGAGUCUAGUGGUUGGAGACAUUGCAGAGCUAAGACCAAACCAGGGGACACUGUCGCUGUUUACCAACGAGGCUGGAGGCAUCUUAGAUGACUUGAUUGUAACCAGUACUUCUGAGGGCCACCUGUAUGUGGUGUCCAACGCUGGCUGCUGGGAGAAAGAUUUGGCCCUCAUGCAGGUAUACCCCCUCUGUGUUCUAGGCACCUUGUCUUCCUUGUUCAUAGAGCAGCAUCCUUGUUAUCCAAGACAGGGUUGGCACAGACAAAGGACCUGGAAAAUGGCUCUUUCAGUGAAUGAACAGCUAUGAGACUCAAGAGCAGGCCCUCUCUGGAGCAUGCCAGGGUUUGGUGGUGGGGGAUUACCAGGCAUGGGGAGGGGGUCUUGGCCCCUCUGGUGUGAGGUGGCAGACCUGGGCUUGGGUCAUCUCUAUCACUUAGUAGCUAUGUGACCUUGUAAGAUGGGAACCAGCCUACUACCUUUUUUUCCUCCCUCCUCCUCCUCCUCUCCACUGUCUUACUACUGUCCAGCUCUGCAGCGUCCAGCCCAUGGUAGCUGCUCAGUAAGUGGCCCCAGAUGCUCUUGUGUUUCUGUCUUUUAGGACAAGGUCAGGGAGCUUCAGAACCAGGGCAGAGAUGUGGGCCUGGAGGUGUUGGAUAAUGCCCUGCUAGCUCUGCAAGGCCCCACUGCAGCCCAGGUACUACAGGCCGGCGUGGCAGAUGACCUGAGGAAACUGCCCUUCAUGACCAGUGCUGUGAUGGAGGUGUUUGGCGUGUCUGGCUGCCGUGUGACCCGCUGUGGCUACACAGGAGAGGAUGGUGUGGAGAUCUCGGUGCCGGUAGCGGGGGCAGUUCACCUGGCAACAGCUCUUCUGAAAAACCCAGAGGUGAAGCUGGCAGGGCUGGCAGCCAGGGACAGCCUGCGCCUGGAGGCAGGCCUCUGCCUGUACGGGAAUGACAUUGAUGAACACACUACACCUGUGGAGGGCAGCCUCAGUUGGACACUGGGGAAGCGCCGCCGAGCUGCUAUGGACUUCCCUGGAGCCAAAGUCAUUGUUCCCCAGCUGAAGGGCAAGGUGCAGCGGAGGCGUGUGGGGUUGAUGUGUGAGGGGGCCCCCAUGCGGGCACACAGUCCCAUCCUGAACAUGGAGGGUACCAAGAUUGGUACUGUGACUAGUGGCUGCCCCUCGCCCUCUCUGAAGAAGAAUGUGGCGAUGGGUUAUGUGCCCUGCGAGUACAGUCGUCCAGGGACAAUGCUGCUGGUAGAGGUGCGGCGGAAGCAGCAGAUGGCUGUAGUCAGCAAGAUGCCCUUUGUGCCCACAAACUACUAUACCCUCAAGUGAAGCUGGCUCAGGGUGGGGCUGUCCCUUCCAGAAGUUUUGCCCCUACAAGGGGUUAGUCAAGAAGCUGAGGCAGAACUCACUGGGGGUGGGCAGUUAAGGUGGAGGCUGAUUCUAAUUGUCUGGCUGAGGGGCCACACCACCUAUUCCCCCCACCUAACUCAUGCCACUCCAGCUUCCUUCAGGACCCUGCUUCUGAGUGACGGACCAGCUCACACAAUGUCUUGUUUCAGUCCAUGAUCCCACUGACCUACUCUUGCCUGCUGGAGGGUAAUGAGAAGCUUUGGUUCUGCCAUCUCUCCCACUCUGCCAGGUGCUGGCUGUGGAGCAAAGGCUCACCUUUGUGGGGAGGAUAAAACCUGCCCAACCUACCUCACCAUGGUUUUUCACAUUGCAAACGGUAAUAACAUGGGCAGUGUGGACUUAGGCUACCCCCUCCAGUUUGCUUUCCGUAAAUGCAAAUUGUCCCUACUGCAAGUCAGGAAUGAUUGCCGACUCACAGUAGGGCUGCUAUGCCUGUGUGUAAACUUGGGGAUGGCUGAGGGAACACAGACUCACUCUUCCGCAUUCCCAAGUUGGUCUAGUGUGCUGCCCAGUAGCAAACCAUGGCAGGCUCACCACCUAUUCUGAGCUCCAGGGCUGUUGUAGGGCAGGGUGGGCUUCCUCCCAGACUUGCCUUACCCUGGGCUGAUCUUUGCCCCUGGUAUGCAUUAAUGGACUCCACUGAAUCCUGAAAAAAAAUUAAACU